AUUGAACGCUGGCGGCAGGCCUAACACAUGCAAGUCGAGCGGAGCGGCGGACGGGUGAGUAAUGCCUAGGAAUCUGCCUGGUAGUGGGGGAUAACGUCCGGAAACGGGCGCUAAUACCGCAUACUAUCAGCUGAGCCUAGGUCGGAUUAGCUAGUUGGUGGGGUAAAGGCCUACCAAGGCGACGAUCCCUAGCUGGUCGGAGAGGAUGACCAGCCAAACUGGAACGGAGACACGGUCCAGACUCCGACGGGAGGCAGCAGUGGGGAAUAUUGCACAAUGGGCGCAAGCCUGAGACAGCCAUGCCGCGUGUAGGAAGAAGGCCUUCGGGUUGUAAAGUACUUGCAGCGAGGAGGCGUUACUCGCAGAAGAAGCACCGGCUAACUCCGUGCCAGCAGCCGCGGUAAUAC
rnacentral:rRNA from 1 species